GACGAACGCUGGCGGCGUGCCUAAUACAUGCAAGUCGAGCGGACUGAUUAAGAGCUUGCUCUUAUGACGUUAGCGGCGGACGGGUGAGUAACACGUGGGCAACCUGCCCUGUAGAUCGGGAUAACACCGAGAAAUCGGUGCUAAUACCGGGUAAUAUCUGAGAUCACAUGAUCUUAGGUUAAAAGAUGGCUCCGGCUAUCACUACAGGAUGGGCCCGCGGCGCAUUAGCUAGUUGGUAAGGUAAUGGCUUACCAAGGCGACGAUGCGUAGCCGACCUGAGAGGGUGAUCGGCCACACUGGGACUGAGACACGGCCCAGACUCCUACGGGAGGCAGCAGUAGGGAAUCUUCCGCAAUGGACGAAAGUCUGACGGAGCAACGCCGCGUGAGUGAUGAAGGGGUUCGGCUCGUAAAGCUCUGUUGUUAGGGAAGAAACAGUACCGAACGAACCAGGUCGGUACCUUGACGGUACCUAACCAGAAAGCCACGGCUAACUACGUG
rnacentral:rRNA from 1 species